rnacentral:rRNA from 1 species
AUGCCGCCGCCCAGCCUGACCGCCGCGAACGACAGGGCCGCCGCCGCCUCCGCCGCGAACGGCCACGCGGCGCCGGUCGCGCGCCGCCGCGCGGGCAAGGGCAAGAAGGUCCACCCGCUGCCGGCCGACGGGGCCGCGAUGGGGGACGGCGGCGAGAGGCUGGCGGGCGGGAGGAGGCCGAUGGACUGGCUGUCGCCUGCCGGGGUGGCCGGCAUCCUGCGGCGGCACCCGCUGCCGGUGCUGUUCGCGUGCGGGCUGCUGCUCUUCAUGGGCGUGGAGUACACCAUCCCCAUGAUCCCCGCCGCCGCGCCGCCGCUCGACCUCGGCUUCCACGCCACCGCCGCCAUGCACGCCGGGAUCGCCGCCCGGCCCUGGCUCAACUCGCUCCUCGCCGCGCUCAACACGGUGUUCGUGGCGAUGCAGGCCGCAUACAUCCUGUGGGCCGUCCUCGCCGAGCAGCGGCCGCGUGCCGCCAUCGCCACGCUCAUGAUGUUCACCUGCCGCGGCCUGCUCGGCUGCUCCACGCAGCUGCCCCUGCCGGCGGAGUUCUUGGGCUCCGGCAUGGACUUCCCCGUGGGGAACGUGUCCUUCUUCCUCUUCUACUCCGGGCACGUCGCCGGCGCGGUGAUCGCGUCCAUCGACAUGCGCCGCGUGGGACGGCGCAGGCUGGCGGUGCUCUACGACACACUCAACUUGCUGCAGUUCGUCAGGCUGCUUGCGUGCAGAGGGCAUUACACCAUUGACCUGGCCGUCGGCGUCGGCGCUGGUCUCGUCUUCGACAUGCUUGCCGGCUGGUACCUGGACAGCAAGAACAUCGACAGCGGCGACAACCGUUGCUGCAGCAGCUGCCAGAAGGCUCUCGUCUCACAGAAGCUUACAUCAUAG